UGGGGAAUUUUGGACAAUGGGGGCAACCCUGAUCCAGCAAUGCCGCGUGAGUGAAGAAGGCCUUCGGGUUGUAAAGCUCUUUUGUCAGGGAAGAAACGGUGGGGGUUAAUACCUUCUGCUAAUGACGGUACCUGAAGAAUAAGCACCGGCUAACUACGUGCCAGCAGCCGCGGUAAUACGUAGGGUGCAAGCGUUAAUCGGAAUUACUGGGCGUAAAGCGUGCGCAGGCGGUUGUGCAAGACCGAUGUGAAAUCCCCGGGCUUAACCUGGGAAUGGCAUUGGUGACUGCACGGCUAGAGUGUGUCAGAGGGGGGUAGAAUUCCACGUGUAGCAGUGAAAUGCGUAGAGAUGUGGAGGAAUACCGAUGGCGAAGGCAGCCCCCUGGGAUAACACUGACGCUCAUGCACGAAAGCGUGGGGAGCAAACAGGAUUAGAUACCCUGGUAGUCCACGCCCUAAACGAUGUCUACUAGUUGUCGGGUCUUCAUUGACUUGGUAACGCAGCUAACGCGUGAAGUAGACCGCCUGGGGAGUACGGUCGCAAGAUUAAAACUCAAAGGAAUUGACGG
rnacentral:rRNA from 1 species